AUGGGUGUAGCUCAGUGGAAGAGCAGCAGAAUGCCCGUCACGCAUCUACCCUCGCCCGCGCGUCGGGCCGAUCGCGGGAUGGUUCUCGUUAAUCUGCAGGUCGCCUGGUUCGAUUCCGGCCAUCCGUU
rnacentral:tRNA from 1 species